GGAAUUUUGCGCAGUGGGGGCAACCCUGACGCAGCAACGCCGCGUGGAGGAAGAAGGUUUUCGAAUCGUAAACUCCUGUCCGGAGGGAAGAAGAAGUGACGGUACCUCUGGAGGAAGCCCCGGCUAACUCCGUGCCAGCAGCCGCGGUAAUACGGGGGGGGGCGAGCGUUGUUUGGAUUUACUGGGCGUAAAGGGCGCGUAGGCGGUCUCAGAAGUUCUGGGUGAAAGCCCCCGGCUCAACCGGGGAAGGGCCUGGAAAACCAUGGGACUGGAGUGCUGGAGAGGCAAGCGGAAUUUCUGGUGUAGCGGUGAAAUGCGUAGAUAUCAGAAGGAACAUCUGAGGCGAAGGCGGCUUGCUGGACAGACACUGACGCUGAGGCGCGAAAGCUAGGGGAGCAAAC
rnacentral:rRNA from 1 species